rnacentral:hammerhead_ribozyme from 1 species
AUCCAGCUGACGAGUCCCAAAUAGGAAUAAAUGUGCAUCCUGGAU